rnacentral:rRNA from 1 species
AUUGAACGCUGGCGGCAUGCCUUACACAUGCAAGUCGAACGGCAGCACGGGGGCAACCCUGGUGGCGAGUGGCGAACGGGUGAGUAAUGCAUCGGAACGUGUCCUCUUGUGGGGGAUAACCAGUCGAAAGACUGGCUAAUACCGCAUGAGAUCGCAAGAUGAAAGCAGGGGACUCCGAGGGUAACUUCGGGGCCUUGCGCGAGAGGAGCGGCCGAUGCCCGAUUAGCUAGUUGGUGGGGUAAAAGCCUACCAAGGCGACGAUCGGUAGCUGGUCUGAGAGGACGACCAGCCACACUGGGACUGAGACACGGCCCAGACUCCUACGGGAGGCAGCAGUGGGGAAUUUUGGACAAUGGGGCAACCCUGAUCCAGCCAUGCCGCGUGUGUGAUG